UCCCCCGCAGCGCGCAUUCGCUCCUUCCUGCCCCCACCUCCGCCCUUAUCCAGACGAGCCAAAAAGCCUUAUAUUCGGAUGCGGAAUAACCGAGUGACACCCUACAGCUGUUUCCGAUUUCCCGCCCCUCCCCCCAUUCUCCCGAGUGCAUGCCUUCCGCUCUGAAAUCUGGACAUCUUCCUGUGGAAUUACAAGGACAGCCAUCUACAGUCGCCCCUUAUACCUGCCCUGCGAGUCAGCACACAGUAACUCUCGAACUUUCGGCAGGACGGGUUAAGCCACACCCUCAGCUGACGAAGACGGGGCGCACGAGAGGAGAGCCCGAAGGGUGUGUGGAAGGCGUGACAGGUCUGAAGUUGUGUGAAGAGAUGAACCUCCUGUUGACUUACAUUUGACUGAAGCAGACGGAUCCC